CUUCCCUGCGCAGGCGCCCUUCGCCUGGCUUGUUCUGCCCCAGAGGUGCCAGGCAGUAAGGGGCAGGAGCACUUCCGGGAGCCCCUGACCCGGUCUUGGGUAACACGGCGGCCACGCCCACCUGGAGAAAGCCACCGGCGGCGCGUCCGGGUUAGAGACGGGACGUAGGGACGUACUGCGUGCGCGCGUACAAAGGUGAGCGCGCAUGGCGCGACAGAACUAGGAAAGCUCAGUAGGCCCCGGGGUGGCGCCGACUCUAGAUUUAGCAUCCUUGGGAAGUUCGUGCAGCGGCCUCCCUGAAAAUGGCAUUACAGCCCGGCAGAACCCCCCGACUCUGCGGCAGGACCUGCGGGGCCUCUCCGCCCUCGGUGACAGCUUCGGAGUGCGAACGGCUCCCCUUGGGUCUCCGGGGGAGCGCGGCUCCCGCAGGCAGAACGAAGCUGGGUCCGGGGCCUCAGAGCCUCCGCGUUGUAGUUGGGAGAGGUUCGAACGGGGCCUCAGCUGGCGAAGGGGAAAACGGACCUGUAUCCUGACCCGUGGAGCCCGCUCGAAAGCCGGGUGCUGGGGAUGUGGGCCGCCCUUCCGCCGUCCUUCUUCAAUAAGAAAUUCCUCAAGGGCAGACUGCGAAUCCACAGUCGUGAAGCCACCUAAUCGGCGUCAUACCUGGAAUGUUUGGAUUCCUGGUAUGAAGGGAAAGUAACAUUUAUUGGCUACUUGUCCACUGGAAGGCGUUGUCUUAUUUCUCAUUAACUCCUUGAAUCAGCAUUACCUCUUUUAUUACAGAUGACAAAACUACUUCAGCUUUAAAUAGUGUUUUGAGAGCAAGGACGAAAUCUCCAUUUCCUCCUUAGCUGCUGGUAGCUCGACGCUCACUGUUAAAAUAGGGAGGUGAUGAAACAACUCUUGUGUGAGACCGAAAGUCCAGGUGUGCAUCUUGGCUGUUUCCAAGUUAAUCAAGAAGAAUUAAGGAUUCGUUUCAUUCUAUCAAAAUUAUUUCUCAAUGCCAAGAUAUUUUGUGUGAUGUAGAUUCGGGGAUAGAGUGAGUAGCACAAUACCUGGGGAGAGUUAGGUGCUCAGCAGUUAGAAUUGUCCACACUUAUGAUUGCUUUUACCUAUGUGCCACUGUUCUACGCACUGAACAUAUCUCAAGUUAUUUAAUCUUAAGGACAGCCUUAUGAGCCAAUUACUAUUAUUACCCAUUUUACAGAUGAGGGAACUGAGACAAAUUUGCCGAAGGUCACACAACUAGUAGCAGAAUCAAGGGAAAAAAAAAAAAAAAAAAAAAAAAAA